GCUAAAGCUCAGCAGCAGAGCAUCUGCCUUGCAUUCAGAAGUUCCCAGGUUCGAUUCCUGGAACCUCCA